rnacentral:rRNA from 1 species
AACGGACGCUGGCGGCAGGCUUAACACAUGCAAGUCGAGCGCCCCGCAAGGGGAGCGGCAGACGGGUGAGUAACGCGUGGGAAUCUACCCAUCUCUACGGAAUAACGCAUGGAAACGUGUGCUAAUACCGUAUACGUCCUUCGGGAGAAAGAUUUAUCGGAGAUGGAUGAGCCCGCGUUGGAUUAGCUAGUUGGUGGGGUAAAGGCCUACCAAGGCGACGAUCCAUAGCUGGUCUGAGAGGAUGAUCAGCCACACUGGGACUGAGACACGGCCCAGACUCCUACGGGAGGCAGCAGUGGGGAAUAUUGGACAAUGGGCGCAAGCCUGAUCCAGCCAUGCCGCGUGAGUGAUGAAGGCCCUAGGGUUGUAAAGCUCUUUCACCGGUGAAGAUAAUGACGGUAACCGGAGAAGAAGCCCCGGCCAACUUCGUGCCAGCAGCCGCGGUAAUAC